rnacentral:lncRNA from 1 species
UCGUCUUCUUUUUCCGGAUCGAUGUACUCGGUCCAAUCGGUCCUUUUCUUUUUCCGAUUCUCAGCCUGGGAUUCGUCUGACGACGAAUCUAGGGUUUGUUGGUCUAAUUCGAGCGAUUGAUUCUGUUCGGCAAAUUGACGCAACAUAUUGAAGGUCUGAACGAAUUUGCGAACGUCCUUGGCCAUGAAAGCCUGAGCAAAGACCUUCAAUACUGAUUGCUUCUGGUUACAAACCACACAGUUCCAUUUGUUGCUGCUCUUCUUCCUCUGCUUCACCUGNNNNNNNNNNNNNNNNNNNNNNNNNNNNNNNNNNNNNNNNNNNNNNNNNNNNNNNNNNNNNNNNNNNNNNNNNNNNNNNNNNNNNNNNNNNNNNNNNNNNUGUGUGUGUAAAUAUAGAGAGAAUUGAAGGAUGCCUGCAUCGUGGAGCACUGACAACAUUGAACCGCGAUGAAAAUGGUAGACAUAUUUCGCUUUCAUCUCUCUCUUUCUGUCUCUUGCAUGUGUUCAUGCGACUUUUAGGCGCCAAAAUGUAUUCAAACUUUGGACGUUUUUAGUAAGGUGAGCGGAAAUUCAAAAUUAGUUGUAUUUUAUUAUAUGGAUUAGCAACAGUUCCGUGCCUUCAGCACUAUGGACGAUGGAAUUUAUCUCAAACUUUGGACGACCCAGAUUAUUUAUUAGGAUGAGUGUGAAAUUUAAAAUUAUUUGUAUUUUGUUAUAUAUACUAGAUGUGUCCGUGCCUUUGGCACUGUAUGGACGGUGAGAUUUAUCCCAAACUUUGGACGGCCCAGAUGAUUUAUUGAGUGAACGGGAAAUUCAAAAUCAUUUGUAUUUUAUUAGAUAGAUUAUUUUAGCUUAAUUGGCUUUGGGGAGGGGUUUAUAGGGCAUGUUUGGUUAUACUUUUUGUGUUGGGAUGAUAAAUGCAAUUUAGUUUUAUGGCCGUAAAAUGAAUCAAAUAGUUCGGUCUCGAUUCAUACUCGUUUGAUUAAAAGUUUGAUUCGAGUUCGAUUCGAAAUAUAUAUGAUUCAAAUAUGAACAAAAUUUAAAGUUUGAUAAAUUACUCGAACCUCUUCAAAUUAUAAUUUUCUAUUAAUAUUCGGAUCAUAUUCGCUCGAAAAGUUCAAAGUUCGAUUUGAGAUCGUGCUCGACUUAUUAGCUAAACGAAUGUCAGUCAAACUUUAUUUUAUACUCGAUAAAUUUUGUGAACUAAAUUUGAGUAACUCAAUACUCGGCUCAACUCGGUUCAUUUACACCCCUAUUCAAUUUUUGUCAUUUGCGUCUGACUGUAAAAUUAAAAUGAAAUAAAACUUUGAAUACUCCCUUCAUAUUAGUUUAACUUUUCUGGUCAAAUUGACUGAUUUUAAAAUUAAAAAUGAAGUAUAUUUAUUAAUGUUUUAAAAUCCAUAAAAAUUAGAAGUAGUAGUAAAUUUUGUAUAAUUUUAUUAUGAUUAUAAUUUCUUAAGUUAUAUUUAUAAGUAAAUAAUAUAAAUUUAGAUUACAAAAUAAUUAAUUCUUCAUUAAGUAGUACUGUAGUAGUGAAGAUUCGCUUGUAGAAAAUAUGGGUGUUACUGAAUAAAUUGUGUACUAUACGAGCUAAAGAGAAAUGGUAUUGGUGAGUUGUAUAUUUUAUUUAUGGUAGUUGAUAUUGUUAAAAUAAAAAAGAUAGUGUCAAAAUAACAAGUGUUAUUUAAGGUGUUAAAUUUUGAUCAAAUAAUUAUAAAAGUGUUAAAUAUAUAUUUGCUCUAAUAAUUUCAUUUUCAGUUUGACAAUUCAAUUGUCUUAUGUUAAUUGUUAAAUCCACAACACUUUUUGUUAUUUUUAUAAUAAAAAUGUCGCUGUAGAUGUAUAGCGACGGUGAAAACCGUAGUUAUAUGAUCUAUAGCGAUAUUUUUGUUGUGGAAAUAACAAUUUCUGUUAUGAAUUUAAUAAUUUUCUAAUCUUAUUUGUAGUUUCAUUUGUUCAUGUCAUGGGUGUUCUCACCCACCAGAAUUUAGGUUUAGUGGGGGCUGAUUUUGGUACAAUAUAUUUAAUAGAAAAUAUAAAUAAUUAAUACUGUAUAUAUUUAACCACUAUACAUAAGUAUUUUUUUUAUUAUCAUAAAUUCAUUAAUCACAAAAGAGAAACAACAUCUUUAACAUAGUUUAUAUAAAAUGGGUAAAUUCAUUCUCAUAAUUAGGGUAAAUGCCAAUGAAAUAUGGAAUAAAAAAUAAAUUCUAUAAGAAUUGUCUAUAAACUAGUGUCAAACUAUACAUUUUGAGAGAAAAUCAAGGAGUUUUGAUUGUGUUAAAAUAAUUAAAUAGAUUUUACCAGCAAAUAAUAUUUGCAUAAUCAAUUAAAAAAAUCAAAACAACUUGAUUUUAUUUAAAAAUAUAAAUUUGUCAAUUCUAAUUUUCAGACAAUUCAUAUAGAAUUGAUUCUUUAUUAAACAAUGUAUAAAUCUAGUAGGGAUGCAAGAACAAAAAAUAUAUAUAUCAAAGAAAAGAAAGAAAGAAAAAACUAGUGAAGACAACGACCUUCACUUGACCUGCCCCCGCUGUAUCCACAGCGACGGAUCCAUCUUAGGGCAGAGGAGACAAUUGACCGCACUGAAUUUUCAGAGGGUUAAUUUGUCCUCAUCUCCCGACCCCUCUAUAUAAAGUGUUUAUUUAAAAAAUUAAUGAAUGUCUCAAAUUUGUACACACUUUACUCUUUCUUUUUCAGUCAUCUAGCCACAACGUUAACUCAUCAAAUAAAAAUUCUUUCAAGGCAUAUUGUAAUUUUUAUUUUUUUAUAAUUUCACAAAUUUAGUAAUUGUUUGUGAAUUUUUGCAAUAACGUCGACCCCCAAAAAAAACAAAAAAAAACUCAAAGAUGAAUAAUUAUUUAGUAACUUGCAUUAUUGAACAUGAUAUUUUUGUACCUAUUGAAAAUGACUAUCAUGCAACAAUUUCAAGUUAUAGAGUCUCAAAAAAUAUUAUUGUAAACAAUAUAUGAAUAUUAUUUAAUUUUUUGAUUUAUUAUAUUAUAUUUUUUAUUUUUUUAUUGAGAAAUUUUCUUCAAAUUUGACCUAAUUGAACCAAAGCUGGAUCCGCCCAUGCGUAUCCAGGUGUUCACCUAGAAAGAAAAUUCAAAAUUAACCUUUGACGAAUAAGACAUAAAAAGGAGAAGAGAAUAGCGAGAACACAGCAAAAGCUUAAACGAAAAGAUGAUGCUUCCCUUUCUUUGAACUUUUCAGUUUUGGAGUGUAAAAAGAAUCGGCAUAAAUCAACUUUUGGUAUAUGUAUUGGGACACGACUUAUAAUUUGGUACUCGAAAUGAAAAAGUUACAAACUGGUGAUUGUAUUCAAAAAAUGUUACACUCUGUUAAACAUUAGGGACAAGACUUACAAUUUGAUACCCGAAGUGAAAAAAGUUACAAACUGAUGAUUGUACUCAAAAAAUUUUGUAAUCUGGUGCUUGUACUUUCCAAUUUUUAAAUAAUCGUUAAAAUUGAUCCAACGGGAGAGACAAACAUACAGAGAGAGAAGCGAAGUCGACGCGAAGAAGGUCCUCGAUGUUUUGUUCCAUAUUUUCUUGCCUUCCGCAUUCGCACCAUUGCUCCACAAUGGCAUCGACUUGGGAACUUUGGUGUAAUCCAUUCAUUUUUGUUGCAUGAACUACAAAUCUUCUUCCCCGAUUUCAUUUAUGAUUCCACUCCAAGACGAGCUCAUCCUUUCAAUUAAACACUGAAAACUCUUUAAUAAACAUAUGGGAACCAGUAAUCAAAUGGAAAAUCGAGACAAAAAGAAUGAGAGAAGAAGAAGGACAGAAGAAGAGAACCCUAAUUUUCUAACAGAAUAAAGAUGAAACCCUACUGUUUAACGAAGUGUAACAUUUUUCGAGUACAAUUACCAGUUUGUAACUUUUUUCACUUCGGGUAUCAAAUUAUAAGUCGUGUCCCUAAUGUUUAACGGAGUGUAACAUUUUUCGAGUACAAUCACCAGUUUAUAACUNNNNNNNNNNNNNNNNNNNNNNNNNNNNNNNNNNNNNNNNNNNNNNNNNNNNNNNNNNNNNNNNNNNNNNNNNNNNNNNNNNNNNNNNNNNNNNNNNNNNGUGAUUGACACAAUUCUGUUUGCAUUUCGCUUUCUAGUUCUAGCAAAUUAAAGUAGUAAAGAACUGGUUUACACACAUUAGCAUUUCAAACUAGUGCUCCAAUAGGAAGUAUUUGCCAAAUACUGUCCGAAAUCCACAUGAAGGAGAGGAAUGAUUCAUUGAAAAUCGGGGUGGAUAUCGUCUUCAACUAUCUGAUCAUUCAAGGAUGUGUGAAAUGCAGCAGAAUUCCAUUUACCCUUCAGAUGAUCUUCUAAACCUUUCCCACUUUGAAGCUUCAAGUCAUCAUCAUUAUCAUAUUCUGUAAUGUAUUCAUUCCAUUUUGAAGUUGCACCUUUGACUGCUGUUGCCUCUCCCUGCCAUGGCGCUUUUGCUGAAAGAUUGUCAUUGUCAUCAGACUCAUCACUAUCUUCUUGAGUUAUGUAAUCUCUCCAUUUGGAUGCCCCCAUGUCUUUUGAAGGUUGACCUCUCAUUAGCACUUUUUCACCAAAAUUAUCAACAGCAUUUGGAAGUGCCCCCUUGUGUUUCAAAGGUUGCGGUCUUAUUAGUUCUUUAUCAGCAAAAAUGUCAACAGUUUGCCUUGCAUAAUCACUCUGUUUCGAAUUCACCAUUGGUCCUCCGGGUUUGCUUGGCUGCUUCUCUGCAAAACAAAAGUAUCUCGAGUUCUCAACAGAGUCUAGAUACUAAUGAAGGCCUAAAAGCUUAAAACUCCCCUAGUAGGCUAGUACACAUUCCACUGCCAAAUUCUUAGGCUAUUUCUAAUAAAAUUCAACUUCAUCAAAAUGGUGGACACUUCAAAAAUCAUAUACUAUCACACAUAUAUGCAUUUGGAUUAAGAAUUUUGACGAGCAAAAUCAAACAGUUGAACCAAUAAUCAUGUAUAUGUAGGCAUAACAAUAUUAACAAGAGAAACCAAGCAAUAGAAAUACUUAAUCAUAAAUAUUGAAGCCAUUCAUAUUAAGAAUUUUGAAAAGAAAAAUUACUUCAAUUCCAUGAUAUAUCUCAAGUGUCAUUACCUAAAGAUCCGAGUUCCUUAUUGAAAUUCCUUUCUCCAAAAACUGGUCUAAAAAGCUUUUCAUUACUCUUCCUAGUAUCCAAACCACCAGAAGAGGCAGAAUAGUUCCUCAAUUUUGGUUUCUUGAACAAUGCUUUCGGCAUUUCCGUCACAAUCAUUGGCUCAGACACAUUCCCUGCAUAUCAAAAAGUAGCAAUUAAGCAGAUAAAACAUAAACAAACAGGAAUUCAUUAUUUCAUUAAUUUUCAACACCUGAGUUAUCUUUAUCUUCUUCGUCUUCUUUUUCCGGAUCGAUGUACUCGGUCCAAUCGGUCCUUUUCUUUUUCCGAUUCUCAGCCUGGGAUUCGUCUGACGACGAAUCUAGGGUUUGUUGGUCUAAUUCGAGCGAUUGAUUCUGUUCGGCAAAUUGACGCAACAUAUUGAAGGUCUGAACGAAUUUGCGAACGUCCUUGGCCAUGAAAGCCUGAGCAAAGACCUUCAAU